ACCACUGGGGAACUCGCUAGGGUUAUGCACAGUCAACCUACAGAGAAAGUGCAAGGCCAUUUGUGGGAACAUAGGGUGGCGAAGCCUAACCCGACCUCCAUUGCUGCUUGACAAAGUUCCAGCUGGGGGAAAGAAAGGGUGGAACACAUCGUACCCUCAUGUUUUAUUUUUUUUUUGCCGUAAUGUUUAUAAUUGUUACUCUGAUCACAGGAGUCACUGUGUUUGUGACUAACAACAGACUCUCCAUGGGGCAAAUUGGAAAUGAUAGAUUGAAAUCUGAUCUGGCUCACAAGUCCCAAAUUCCAGUUUCUCUUAGUUCUAUUGCCACAUCCACUUCUAGAGAAACCUCCUCUAAAACCCCCUCUGUUUCCCCACUACUAUAACUCCCCCUCUUAUUGCUGACAUUCUGUUUACUAAAGGGGUCUUACGAAAAGAUUGGAAGGACAGACUUUGGAUGAAAGAAAUAGUGGAAAUGGGAAAAAGAAAGAAAGUUAAGACAGCUGCAUAGCACACACGGCCGCCACUGAAGAACACCACAUUGGCAGAACCAAUGGUAUCAGCCAGGCCCAGGACCCCCAGAACCUGGUCCCUAGGACAGCAGAGCAAUCAAGGGAAGGGAUUCCGCUGCAACCCAGCAGCUGGUCACAAAUUGAAAGUGGAGCAAGCAGCACAAUCAAAGGAAAAGUAGCUUCCAGAUCUCUCUGCCAGGACUGAGGUCGCCCACGGAAAACCCUGGAGGAGGAGAGACUGAGGGAGGAGGGCACAUGGAGGGCGGAAGCGAGGCAUCUCAGGACCUACUGCAGGUCCCCAAGUCCAGUCCCAGUGAUGACGCUGCCUCACUCUCCUUCAGCUUUUUGGGGAUACCACGUACAUCGCCCUUCUGGGCCCCAGGGUCAAGCUGAUGCUGCGUCUACGGAGCUGUGUUUCCGCGCAGCAUGUGGGCCUUCCAAACCUCGUCGGACUGCUCAGCCUUGUUCCUUACCCUCCCCCACCCGAGCGGGCAAAUUAGCGAAAGUGAAGCAAACAGGACGGCAAUGUUCUCUCAGGUCCCUUCCAGAACCAAAACCCCAGAAUCUGAGUGCCAAGGAAAUUGCUCUACCAGAGCAGGGUUCCUCAUCACCCCAGCCCUGGAAUCUGGCUCUGCCAAGAUCCAGAUGAGGCCACCUGGGUGUUCAGCGCUCUCCUCCACCGGCCUCGCUUAUGGGCCCUCGGCAAGGUGAGCUCCACAUGCGUGGCCAGCCCCACUGGUCGGAGGCCAAGCCUGGGAGGUUUCUGAACGCGC
rnacentral:lncRNA from 1 species